AAGCAAAUACAAAGGCAGACCAAAAUAAGAGUCCAGAUUGAGUGGAUCCUAAGUUUCUCUCUUCUGUGAAAGAAUCAUUUGGAGUAUCCACAAGAAUAUGUCCACUCUUACAAUUAUUCUUUUGGAAUUCUAUGGACUUUGAAGAGGAAUCCAUACCAUUCCUAUAUUGUGUAAGGUGUCUCAUCUGGUCCCUUGACCUCAAAUUCAAAUUAUCUGAUGAUGGCGUUCUUCCCAUUUAGGAGCUAGCAAAAACUGAGGCUGAGAACCUGAGUGUGGUCACUUGUGCAGGCAGGGGCCUGACAGAGAAGCAGGGGAACACCUGGAGCUCCUUUUACCUCAUUGCACCUGAAAACAGUGCAUAAGAUGAAAGGCACGUAAUUAAUUGUUGUUGAUAAGAUGAUUUGAAAGAGGAUUGCUUGCCAAAUCUCCACCCCAGAAUGCUUCACAAUCUGUUCACUUUAUUUUUUUUCUCCCUUCUCUUUCUGAAGGUGGGAUGAAAUAACAGAGGCAGGCACUUUGCAGCCUUUUAGAAGCAAAAAAAAAAGUGCAGUAAGUUAAGACAUGGGGGCUUCUGUCCUUCUGUAAGUACAAACUGAAUUUCCAGAGGAGUUUGAUCUUGUCUGAGUUUAAACCAAAUGAGAGCAGAUCUGUGUCACCACAGUGUCAUUAAUUCCUGCAUAGGUCUAUGUUCUUGCUAGGCAGUCAAUAGAAGGUUUUUCCUCUGGAGCUGCCUUUGGUCUUUAGCUGGUGACUGACACUUGUUUCCCAUCUCUCUUUUAUUUUCCUGAUCCCUACCCUCAUUCUGGACAACUAAGCUCCUUCCAGUGUAACACUGGUCAUCACAAGGUUAGGAAUGAAUAGUGUUGAUAUUAUAAAAGCACAGUCUCCUCCUCCAUCCAGAGAACUGUCACCCAGUCAUGCUCUCCAGUCCCCAUGAAGAUUGUGCCCUUAUCACUGUAAGCAGGGAUCAAUACUGAGUUGCCACAGCAACACUAAUAAGCCUUGUAAAUAUCCUUCUUGGUUGUUAAGACACACUGGGGGAAAUAAGAUAGUAAGGCAUGGCCUCCCUGGCCUCUCAGGAAUCCAUGCAAAGGAGUUUAUUGUGUUUACUGGGUAGAGACCUACACCAGGGAUACCUAAGGAGUUCUUAGGUUGAAGAGGAUCUUUUGUGAGAAUCUUCAUUUCACUGAUUUCUUAAGGAGCUUUGGGAACAUAUAGGCGUAUCCUAAACAUUUUGAGAGUUAUGUGUCAGGAGCCAAGACUCCAAAGGAAUCUUAAAUUUAUAUUUAACAGAAAACUCCACCCUUGCCAGUGACUGAGAUCUAUACCACAUGGUUCUGGGGUAGGAAAUGGGGUAGGAAAUGAAAGAAUCAGCUGAAAGGGAGGGUGGUAAGAUUUGGUUGCUAGUUAGAAAUGUUUUAUUCUUCACUCAUUGAUUCCAGCUUUCAUUCUAUACAAGUUUAUUUUUAAAAAUGUGGAUGCUCCAUUUUCAGAGGCUGAUCUAAAAAUACAUGCCUGCAUACCUGAGGCUACAAUGUGUACAUAAAUCCAAACCCACAAAAGAAAGUGAUUGUAUUCAGGGGCAGAGUAGACCACAGAACUGAGCUGAAGGAUCCCUUCCAGGAGUUUCUUCAUCUGUGAUAGGAGUUGAAUCUAUCAUGAGUUGGAGGAUGAAGAGAAUCCUGUUCCAUCCUGACAGAUACAGAUUUCAUGGAGAGAGAAAACUUGGAGACAUUUGCUGUGUUUGCUGUUCCCAGGUGCUCUUAGUGUGAGGUCCAGAAAGUGUCAUAGUUAGGGGUAUGUUUUUGCUUUUGAGCCUCAUCUCUAAGCGUAAAAAAGGUUGGUGAACUUCUCUGAAGAACCAGAUAGUAAAUACUUUCAAGGCUGCAGGCGAUUGGCUGUCAGUUGUUGCUAUGCAGUUCUGUUGCUGAAGCUGCUACAUCACAGAUGUGCCGUCUGCAAGCAAAUGAAUGAGCAUGGCUAUGCUUCAACACUCAUUCCUGAACGUCAAAAGGUGAGUUCCACAUCCGUUUUUACAUGUUGUUAAACAUUAGUCUUCUUUCUCCAAUUAUCUAAAAGUUCAAAAGCCAUUCUUCAUGCAGGUUAGACAUGAACAGGCAGCAGGAAGUAUCUGACCCAUAGACUGCAGUUCUACAUUUUGUGUGAGACCCAGGAAAUUAACUGAAGUUUCUGCUUCAGAAGUCAAAACCACCCAUGGCCACACUGAGUGCUCAACCUUUCAGGAUCCAUUCAAGAGCUAACUACUUGCAAAGGAAGCAACGGGGGCUUUGGAGUCCUCUUGCUUACUGGGGCUCAAGCUGACAUGCUGUCGACUUUACCUUGUUAAGAUCCCCAAGGCCCCUAUGAGGCACAGCUUUACUUACUGCUCAUGCAAGGAUGAGAAAGGGCCACUGCCAUUCCUCGCCCACCAUAAUUGCCAUGGCUGACACUCCUGUAACAAAAAACAGGUUAGCCAGAGGAAAGCAUAGCUAAUUUAUUUAAUCAAAAUGGUAUGGGACACAGAAGCCUUCAGGAAUGAAGCCCAAACAAACCAGGGGGAAUAUGUCUGUUUGUAUGCUUAAAUUUGAUGAAGAAUUGAUAGCUGUGCAAAAGUGUAACUGGAUUAAAGGUUCUAGCUUAAAGUAAUAGACUGGCAGAGAUGGGAAACAAGCCUGUUCAGGUUCCUUUUGUCCCUUGUUACAUUCCUCUCUCCCAGGUACAUGGUGAAGCCAUUUUGGGAUGAAGGUCUUAUAAGCUAUUAUCAGAUAAAGUCAUUGGGGUCUUUCCAGGUAGAAGGCUCCUACACAAAACAUCAGGGGAAGGAAGGGGAAGGUGAUAGUCUAGGUUCUAUGAGCCAUCUGAAGAAAGAGGAAUCCAAGCUUCUCUAAAUAACUGCAGGAGAGAAAGAGGAGCGAGAGCGAGAGCGAGAGCGAGAGCGAGAGCGAGA